UUAAUUUGUUAAUUUAGUAUGCGUUUAUAAUUUUUAUUUUUAUUAUUUCGCAGGCGCAGCGGAGAUUUCUUUUGCUGGUAUUGGAUCGCUUUUGUGUCGGGUUCGUCCGUAGCAGAAGACCCAGAUUUUUCAGAAACCAGAGGACCCUUUAAUGUAGGCGCAGCAGAGAUCCCCUUUUUUUCCUCUUUUGCUGGAGCUGGAUCGUCUUUGUGUCAGAUAAGUUUGUGUUUAUUUAAAUUGAUUUAAAUUUGUUGAUUGAGUAUGUGUUAU